rnacentral:rRNA from 1 species
AAUAUUGGACAAUGGGGGAACCCUGAAUCAACCAUGGCGGGCGUGUUAAGAAGGUUCUCGGUUUGNUAAACACCUUAAGUUGGGGGNGAAGGCCGGUAGUUUAUAACUUGGUGGUUUGACGUUACCGGCAGAAUAAGCCACCGUCAACUUUGUUGCCAGAACCGAGGUAAUACGAAGGGGGGAAGCGUUAAUCGGAAUUACUGGGCGUAAAGCGCGCGUAGGUGGUUUGUUAAGUUGGAAGUGAAAGCCCCGGGCUCAACCUGGGAACUGCUUUCAAAACUGGCAAGCUAGAGUAUGGCAGAGGGUGGUGGAAUUUCCUGUGUAGCGGUGAAAUGCGUAGAUAUAGGAAGGAACACCAGUGGCGAAGGCGACCACCUGGGCUAAUACUGACACUGAGGUGCGAAAGCGUGGGGAGCAAACAGG